CGAAAAAAAACCACCCCGCACAAACACCUCUCGUAUCGAUCCCCUCGAGGAGAAGCCGUCGCCCCCAUCUCCCGCUCUGCCGCCGCCGCCCCCCGCCUUACCGUAUCUCCCUCUCAGCCACCUCCACCACCCCCACGCUUCUCCCCAUCGCCGGAUCCGCUAUUAGAUCGCCAAGGUUAGGCGGCAGAGCUCCACGUCCGCGACUUGCUCGUGCUCGUCAAGGAAGGGGCUGCCGAUCGAAUCUGCGCUCACGCGGCUUGUGUGCCAUGGCCGCCAUGGCAUCCAUGGCCGACAAGAGGGGACCCUCGGCCUCGGCCAUGGCCGCCUGCUUUGGACACGGGCUGGUACUGCAUCUCUUCGGCGGAAGGCGAAAAGAAUGGCGGCGGCGGGCAAUAUGGGAGAAGACGGUGCCCUGCCUGACAACGGACUCGAAUUUCUACUGGAUCCGGUUGACAGCAUGCUGUUGGUUUCCGAUCAGUGAGGUGGUUGCGGACGUUGAGGUGCCAGAUCCGUUGGCGGCAAGGGACUUAGUGGAGACAGACAUGGCUGGCGCCGAUUCCUCAUGCGCGGUUGUGGUUGGGCACCUCGGCGGAGCUGCUGAGCCCCGGGAUUCUGGCGGCAAGAGGAAACAGUAGUCAACCCAGUCCGUGGAAUCGACCGGGAAAGUGAACCCGGAGGCGCCCAGGUCGACCAGAAGGUAAAAAGUAAAAUUAGAGUUCUGAAACUUUCAGACAGAAUGGUUUUGAUUUUUGCAAGCACUGUCACAUACUUGUGCAUGAGCAUAUAUGCUUGGUGCUGUGAUUACUCGUUUCAGCUGGGUAUCCUCGUGAUUUUUCUGGUCAUACUAAUGCGAAUUGGUGUUUCAUAUAUACGACUAGCCAAGAAGUUUUUAGAUGGAUCAUGUCAUAGAUGGACUAGCCAAGAUUGUUUUCAGAUGGAGUGACGAGUGGCACCUGCAGUUCUAAAGGAAAUGUUAGGGUAAGAAGGUUUAAUUCAGCACGCAAAACACAUAACCAUUGUACGACCAGACAGUUGUGGCACAACAGAAAACUAUAGCUACAACUUUUCUAUUUAAUUAAAAUUUUAGUUGACGAUAGUAUUAUCUAUUUUAUAAUUUUUAAUGUUAUAAGACUCCAAUCCAAUGCAGAGCUUAUGCCCGUCAUUGGCUUGUCUCCCCUGGGCUAUGCAUCCAGCUCCAGCGGGUUCAGCACGACUGAGGCAGCAGUGGGAAGGAAGAUUAUUUGGUAGGAUGGCGCUGACAACAUAUCGGAGAUGCGCCAAGCCUUGCUGCGACCUAGCUUUCUUGUGCUUGCUCUCCUUCCCCAACAACAGACCAUCAUGGCCCUCCCUUUUGUUGUUCAUCAAUGGGGGUCAUGUUCACAUCAGAACCAUCAUCAGCACAAUCUUCAUGAAUUUUCCAUAUUUGUCAUAUCUCUCUGAUUGUCCAGUGCAGAUCAUGUUGUUAAAAAGUGAAACUUCUGGGUUGAUUUCAGGUUUAAGGCGUAAAGACUUUUUUAGGUUCUGUUCGUGCUGGAAAAUUUAUGUUCAUUGUCGCACCAAUCAUGUCGGAACCGAAUUUAUUUUCAUUGUUUCAGUCCAAUUCAUCCUUAGAGGGAAAGUGUGGGCCUUGAACUGAAGGAGAGGCAAAUAUGUUUCUAUCAUAGUUAAAUUGGUUCUUGAUUUGAAGAGAUUAUAGAGCCACGUAAUUUUGUACCCGAGCACUGCCAACUGUCGACGAUUUGUAUUGUGUGUUGUUUUACAGUACCUACUUGCCAAUAUUAUUGUGUUGUUUCUCCUAACAAUUGUAGACAUGAAUACAUUUUUGACGAGGUGAAGACAACAGAGAUUGGAGGUAUGCGCUGGGCUCUUUGACACAAGCUAGGGAGGAGUAAGCUGACUGGAUAAUGAGAAAUGUUGAAGUAGUCCAAGGAGGAAUGACACACUGGCUGUGUGUGUGAUGACCUUAACUCUGAAAAAUGAGUUUUUCUUUCUUUCUAAAAUCUAGAGUGGAUUAAUUCUACAAGUAUCCUGAGUUUCUGAUAUGCUUUGCACAUCCACAUACGUGACAGCUGCAAGUUUAACCUGCUCUGAAAUCUCAGAGUUUGUUAGAAGAAACUAUAUUGUUGAUGUGGCUCUUUCACAGUUUUCAUUUCUAAUAAAAUGUGAAGGUGCAACUAUCCUGAAGAAUGAUUAUGUAAAAAGAAAGUUGUAUCAGCAUCGAAGUGAAGAACUGGUGCGGCAGAGCGCACCUUUCCUUCUUGUAAUGAUACCAUGUCCAGUGAAUGCAACACCUAAAACGUCUGCAUAUAAAAUUGCAGUUCGUGGCCGUGCACCUCUUGAUACAGCACCUUGUCCUGGUAGAGUCAGUCCGCUGGAAGAAAUGAUCAGGAGGUAUGCUGAUAAGCCCAUCCGAUAAUGUAGGAAGCCAGAGAUUAGGAUGAGUUUUGACUCCUCGGGGGAAGCUUACAUUUCUAUAACCUGUAUUCUUGGGAGCUUGUACUUGGAAUAAUAUGUGAAAAGAGUCUAUAACCUGUAUUCUUUGGAGCUUGGGUUUUGAAUAAUAUUUGGCAAGAGUGUCUCAA